rnacentral:rRNA from 1 species
UACAGAGGGUGCGAGCGUUGUCCGGAAUCACUGGGCGUAAAGGGCGCGUAGGCGGCGCGAGCAGUCGGCGGUGAAAGCCCGGAGCUCAACUCCGGGGUCGGCCUCGUACUCUGUGCUUGAGCCACUGUAGAGGCAGGUGGAAUUCCAGGUGUAGCGGUGAAAUGCGUAGAUAUCUGGAGGAACACCGAUGGCGAAGGCAGCCCCCCUGGGUCAA